rnacentral:rRNA from 1 species
AUUGAACGCUGGCGGCAGGCUUAACACAUGCAAGUCGAACGAUGAUUAUCUAGCUUGCUAGAUAUGAUUAGUGGCGGACGGGUGAGUAACAUUUAGGAAUCUGCCUAGUAGUGGGGGAUAGCUCGGGGAAACUCGAAUUAAUACCGCAUACGACCUACGGGUGAAAGGGGGCGCAAGCUCUUGCUAUUAGAUGAGCCUAAAUCAGAUUAGCUAGUUGGUGGGGUAAAGGCCCACCAAGGCGACGAUCUGUAACUGGUCUGAGAGGAUGAUCAGUCACACCGGAACUGAGACACGGUCCGGACUCCUACGGGAGGCAGCAGUGGGGAAUAUUGGACAAUGGGGGCAACCCUGAUCCAGCCAUGCCGCGUGUGUGAAGAAGGCCUUUUGGUUGUAAAGCACUUUAAGCAGGGAGGAGAGGCUAAUGGUUAAUACCCAUUAGAUUAGACGUUACCUGCAGAAUAAGCACCGGCUAACUCUGUGCCAGCAGCCGCGGUAAUACAGAGGGUGCGAGCGUUAAUCGGAAUUACUGGGCGUAAAGCGAGUGUAGGUGGCUCAUUAAGUCACAUGUGAAAUCCCCGGGCUUAACCUGGGAACUGCAUGUGAUACUGGUGGUGCUAGAAUAUGUGAGAGGGAAGUAGAAUUCCAGGUGUAGCGGUGAAAUGCGUAGAGAUCUGGAGGAAUACCGAUGGCGAGGGCAGCUUCCUGGCAUAAUAUUGACACUGAGAUUCGAAAGCGUGGGUAGCAAACAGGAUUAGAUACCCUGGUAGUCCACGCCGUAAACGAUGUCUACUAGCCGUUGGGGUCCUUGAGACUUUAGUGGCGCAGUUAACGCGAUAAGUAGACCGCCUGGGGAGUACGGCCGCAAGGUUAAAACUCAAAUGAAUUGACGGGGGCCCGCACAAGCGGUGGAGCAUGUGGUUUAAUUCGAUGCAACGCGAAGAACCUUACCUGGUCUUGACAUAGUGAGAAUCCUGCAGAGAUGCGGGAGUGCCUUCGGGAAUUCACAUACAGGUGCUGCAUGGCUGUCGUCAGCUCGUGUCGUGAGAUGUUGGGUUAAGUCCCGCAACGAGCGCAACCCUUUUCCUUAUUUGCCAGCGGGUUAAGCCGGGAACUUUAAGGAUACUGCCAGUGACAAACUGGAGGAAGGCGGGGACGACGUCAAGUCAUCAUGGCCCUUACGACCAGGGCUACACACGUGCUACAAUGGUAGGUACAGAGGGUUGCAACACAGCGAUGUGAUGCUAAUCUCAAAAAGCCUAUCGUAGUCCGGAUUGGAGUCUGCAACUCGACUCCAUGAAGUCGGAAUCGCUAGUAAUCGCAGAUCAGAAUGCUGCGGUGAAUACGUUCCCGGGCCU